rnacentral:rRNA from 1 species
CUGAUACCGCCCAAGAGUUCACAUCGACGGCGGUGUUUGGCACCUCGAUGUCGGCUCAUCACAUCCUGGGGCUGAAGCCGGUCCCAAGGGUAUGGCUGUUCGCCAUUUAAAGUGGUACGCGAGCUGGGUUUAGAACGUCGUGAGACAGUUCGGUCCCUAUCUGCCGUGGACGUUGGAAAAUUGAGAAGAGCUGCUCCUAGUACGAGAGGACCGGAGUGGACGAACCUCUGGUGUUCGGGUUGUGUCGCCAGACGCAUUGCCCGGUAGCUAUGUUCG